rnacentral:tRNA from 1 species
ACCCAGAUAGCUCAGUCAGUAAAGCAUCAGACUUUUAAUCUGAAGGUCCAGGGUUUGAGUCCCUGCUUGGGCA